rnacentral:rRNA from 1 species
UACUCCUACGGGAGGCAGCAGUAGGGAAUCUUCCGCAAUGGACGAAAGUCUGACGGAGCAACGCCGCGUGAGUGAUGAAGGUUUUCGGAUCGUAAAGCUCUGUUGUUAGGGAAGAACAAGUGCAAGAGUAACUGCUCGCACCUUGACGGUACCUAACCAGAAAGCCACGGCUAACUACGUGCCAGCAGCCGCGGUAAUACGUAGGUGGCAAGCGUUGUCCGGAAUUAUUGGGCGUAAAGGGCUCGCAGGCGGUUUCUUAAGUCUGAUGUGAAAGCCCCCGGCUCAACCGGGGAGGGUCAUUGGAAACUGGGAAACUUGAGUGCAGAAGAGGAGAGUGGAAUUCCACGUGUAGCGGUGAAAUGCGUAGAGAUGUGGAGGAACACCAGUGGCGAAGGCGACUCUCUGGUCUGUAACUGACGCUGAGAGCGAAUGCUUUCCC